rnacentral:lncRNA from 1 species
GAAAGUGGAGCAGCUAAAGCACAUUAUUUUCCAUUUAUGCUGUAAUGGUGUUUGUUUUGCCUGUCUUGUCUUAGAGGAAGGAUAAUACUUGUUUACUGGACGAAGCCAUCAACAGCAUACUAAUUUGGAGGAAGCAGAGGAAGAUGGAGCAAACUGAAGAAGCUGUGGAGCCUGUGCUAUCAGGGACUGUGCCAUUUGGGAGAUAACCCUGUCUUUGCUUCUUGAGCUCCAUCUGAAAGGACAAAGUAAAAGCCUGUGUUUUUGUGUGAGCUGAGCUCAUGCAGCCAGGGAAUAUACCAUCAGGGAGCUGCCUGCAUGCCUCAUUGGUACUGUGGUAACGUAGUUGAAGACCCAGAUACCACCUUGAACAAAUAUUUUCUUUCCCUGACCUCUUUUUCUAAACAAAAGAAUAGACAGGGGAAAAAAAAACCCAACCAACCCCAAAACGAACA